UAACCACCAAGCUGGGUAUCAGGGAGAUGGCCGAGACUGACCCCAAGACCGUGCAGAACCUCACCUCGGUGGUGCAGACACUCCUGCAGCAGAUGCAAGAUAAAUUUCAGACCAUGUCUGACCAGAUCAUUGGCAGAAUUGACGAUAUGAGUAGUCGCAUUGAUGAUCUGGAGAAGAACGUCGCAGACCUCAUGACACAGGCUGGGGUGGAAGAACUGGAAGGUGAAAACAAGAUACUUGCCACACAAAAGAGUUGAAGGUUGCUAAUAAUUUAUGCUGGAAUCUGGAACACCAUGUUUCCAAGCCAAGGGAAGAUCGAAUGGCUUUUUACAGCUAACUAUUAUGUGUAGACAGGUUUUAUAUUAUAAAGUAUGCAUUCUUAUCACGUACUAUAUAGUUAGUUUGUAGAGUGAUUUACCCCCCAGUUUCUUGAACAUAGUGUCUUCACAUCUUGGGCCUUGGUCAGUUGUGCUAUUCAUUAUUAAACACUAAAACUUUGGCGGUUCCUGCAU